AUUGAACGCUGGCGGCAGGCCUAACACAUGCAAGUCGAGCGGAUGAAGGGAGCUUGCUCCUGGAUUCAGCGGCGGACGGGUGAGUAAUGCCUAGGAAUCUGCCUGGUAGUGGGGGAUAACGUCCGGAAACGGGCGCUAAUACCGCAUACGUCCUGAUGGAGAAAGUGGGGGAUCUUCGGACCUCACGCUAUCAGAUGAGCCUAGGUCGGAUUAGCUAGUUGGUGGGGUAAAGGCCUACCAAGGCGACGAUCCGUAACUGGUCUGAGAGGAUAAUAAGUAACACUGGAACGGAGACAGGGUCCAGGCGACUGCGGGAGGCAGCAGUGGGGAAUAUUGGACAGUGGGCGAAAGCCUGAUCCAGCCAUGCCGCGUGUGUGAAGAAGGUCUUCGGAUUGUAAAGCACUUUAAGUUGGGAGGAAGGGCAGUAAGUUAAUACCUUGCUGUUUUGACGUUACCAACAGAAUAAGCACCGGCUAACUUCGUG
rnacentral:rRNA from 1 species